AACUUUCAACAACGGAUCUCUUGGUUCUCGCAUCGAUGAAGAGCGCAGCGAAAUGCGAUACCUAGUGUGAAUUGCAGCCAUCGUGAAUCAUCGAGUUCUUGAACGCACAUUGCGCCCCUCGGCAUUCCGGGGGGCAUGCCUGUUUGAGCGU
rnacentral:rRNA from 3 species